rnacentral:sRNA from 1 species
GUGCCACGGCCGUCUGAACUAAGACGUUAACGAAUCGAAAAGGCGCAGAUAUCUGCGCCUUUUUU